UGGGGAAUCUUGCGCAAUGGACGAAAGUCUGACGCAGCCACGCCGCGUGAGUGAAGAAGGCCUUCGGGUUGUAAAGCUCUGUCGGGCGGGACGAAAAUACUGUGGGUGAAUAGCCCACGGGACUGACGGUACCGCCAAAGGAAGCACCGGCUAACUUCGUGCCAGCAGCCGCGGUAAUACGAGGGGUGCAAGCGUUGCUCGGAAUUAUUGGGCGUAAAGGGUAGGUAGGUGGUCUCGUUUGUCUGGGGUGAAAGCCUUGAGCUUAACUCAAGAAGUGCCCUAGAAACGGCGAGACUAGAGUACUGGAGAGGGUCGUGGAAUUCCCGGUGUAGCGGUGAAAUGCGUAGAGAUCGGGAGGAACACCAGAGGCGAAGGCGGCGACCUGGACAGAUACUGACACUCAACUACGAAAGCGUGGGGAGCAAACAGGAUUAGAUACCCCCGUAGUCC
rnacentral:rRNA from 1 species